rnacentral:rRNA from 1 species
UUGACCUCGGAUCAGGUAGGGAUACCCGCUGAACUUAAGCAUAUCAAUAAGCGGAGGAAAAGAAACCAACAGGGAUUGCCUCAGUAACGGCGAGUGAAGCGGCAACAGCUCAAAUUUGAAAUCUGGCUCUUUCAGGGUCCGAGUUGUAAUUUGUAGAAGAUGCUUCGAGUGUUAGCCUGGUCUAAGUUCCUUGGAACAGGACGUCAUAGAGGGUGAGAAUCCCGUAUGUGACUAGUGCUCUCGCUCAUGUGAAGCUCUUUCGACGAGUCGAGUUGUUUGGGAAUGCAGCUCAAAAUGGGUGGUAAAUUUCAUCUAAAGCUAAAUAUUGGCCAGAGACCGAUAGCGCACAAGUAGAGUGAUCGAAAGAUGAAAAGCACUUUGGAAAGAGAGUUAAACAGUACGUGAAAUUGUUGAAAGGGAAGCGCUUGCAACUAGACUUGCAUGCCGUCGAUCAUCCGAGGUUUUCCCCGGUGCACUCGGCGGUGUUCAGGCCAGCAUCGGUUUGGGUGGUUGGAUAAAGGCCUUGGGAAUGUAGCUUCUUUCGGGGAGUGUUAUAGCCCUCGGUGCAAUGCAGCCUACCUGGACCGAGGACCGCGCUUCGGCUAGGAUGCUGGCGUAAUGGUUGUAAGCGACCCGUCUUGAAACACGGACCAAGGAGUCUAACAUCUAUGCGAGUGUUUGGGUGUCAAACCCAUACGCGUAAUGAAAGUGAACGGAGGUGAGAACCCUUAAGGGUGCAUCAUCGACCGAUCCUGAUGUCUUCGGAUGGAUUUGAGUAAGAGCAUAGCUGUUGGGACCCGAAAGAUGGUGAACUAUGCCUGAAUAGGGUGAAGCCAGAGGAAACUCUGGUGGAGGCUCGCAGCGGUUCUGACGUGCAAAUCGAUCGUCAAAUUUGGGUAUAGGGGCGAAAGACUAAUCGAACC